AUUGAACGCUGGCGGCAGGCCUAACACAUGCAAGUCGAACGAGUGGCGGACGGGUGAGGAAUGUCUGGGAAACUGCACGAUGGAGGGGGAUAACUACUGGAAACGGUAGCUAAUACCGCAUACCAUCGGAUGUGCCCAGAUGGGAUUAGCUAAUAGGUGGGGUAACUGCUCACCUAGGCGACGAUCCCUAGCUGGUCUGAGAGGAUGACCAGCCACACUGGCACGGAGACAAGGUCCAGACUCUUCCGGGUGGCAGCAGUGGGGAAUAUUGCACAAUGGGCGCAAGCCUGAUACAGCCAUGCCGCGUGUAUGAAGAAGGCCUUCGGGUUGUAAAGUACUUUCAGCGCGGAGGCGUUACUCGCAGAAGAAGCACCGGCUAACUCCGUGCCAGCCGCCGCGGUAAUUC
rnacentral:rRNA from 1 species